rnacentral:rRNA from 1 species
GAGUUUGAUCCUGGCUCAGGAUGAACGUUGGCGGCGUGCCUAACACAUGCAAGUUGAGCGUCGCACUGGAUUUAUUCAGUGUGUAGCAGCGGACGGCUGAGUAAUGCACAGGAACGUACCCGGAAGUGGGGGAUAGCCCAUCGAAAGAUGGGGUAAUACCGCAUGUGAUCGCAAGAUCAAAGCCGCAAGGCGCUACCGGAGCGGCCUGUGUCCUAUCAGGUUGUUGGUGGGGUAAAAGCCUACCAAGCCUAUGACGGGUAACUGGUACUGAGAGGAUGACCAGUCAGAUCGGGACUGAGACACGGCCCGAACUCCUACGGGAGCAGCAGUUGGGAAUCUUGCGCAAUGGACGAAAGUCUGACGCAGCGACGCCGCGUGGAGGAUGAAGGCUCUAGGGUCGUAAACUCCUUUUGCUAGGGAGUAAUUUUUGAAAGUACCUAGCGAAUAAGGACCGGCUAACUCCGUGCCAGCAGCCGCCGUAAC